rnacentral:rRNA from 1 species
CCUACGGGAGGCAGCAGUGGGGGAUAUUGCACAAUGGGGGAAACCCUGAUGCAGCGACGCCGCGUGAGUGAAGAAGUAUUUCGGUAUGUAAAGCUCUAUUAGCAGGGAAGAAAAUGACAGUACGUGACCCAGAAGCCCCGGCCAACUACGUGCCAGCAGCCGCGGUAAUACGUAGGGGGCAAGCGUUAUCCGGAUUUACUGGGUGUAAAGGGGGGGUAGACGGGUAUGUAAGUCUGGAGUGAAAGCCCGGGGCCCAACCCCGGGACUGCUGUGGAAACUGUGUGACUGGAGUACAGGAGAGGCAGGCGGAAUGCGUGGUGUAGCGGUGAAAUGCAUAGAUAUCACGAAGAACACCGAUGGCGAAGGCAGCCUACUGGACUGAAACUGACGUUGAAGCUCGAAAGCGUGGGGAGCAAACAGGAUUAGAUACCCGUGUAGUC